UGCAGUCGAGGGGUAUAGUUCUUCGGAGCUAGAGACCGGCGCACGGGUGCGUAACGCGUAUGCAAUCUACCUUUCACAGAGGGAUAGCCCAGAGAAAUUUGGAUUAAUACCUCAUAGUAUUAUGAAAUGGCAUCAUUUUAUAAUUAAAGUCACAACGGUGAAAGAUGAGCAUGCGUCCCAUUAGCUAGUUGGUAAGGUAACGGCUUACCAAGGCUACGAUGGGUAGGGGUCCUGAGAGGGAGAUCCCCCACACUGGUACUGAGACACGGACCAGACUCCUACGGGAGGCAGCAGUGAGGAAUAUUGGACAAUGGGCGCAAGCCUGAUCCAGCCAUGCCGCGUGCAGGAUGACGGUCCUAUGGAUUGUAAACUGCUUUUGCACAGGAAGAAACAACUCUACGUGUAGAGUCUUGACGGUACUGUGAGAAUAAGGAUCGGCUAACUCCGUGCCAGCAGCCGCGGUAAUACGGAGGAUCCAAGCGUUAUCCGGAAUCAUUGGGUUUAAAGGGUCCGUAGGCGGUUUAGUAAGUCAGUGGUGAAAGCCCAUCGCUCAACGGUGGAACGGCCAUUGAUACUGCUAGACUUGAAUUAUUAGGAAGUAACUAGAAUAUGUAGUGUAGCGGUGAAAUGCUUAGAGAUUACAUGGAAUACCAAUUGCGAAAGCAGGUUACUACUAAUGGAUUGACGCUGAUGGACGAAAGCGUGGGUAGCGAACAGGAUUAGAUACCCUGGUAGUCCACGCCGUANACGAUGGAUACUAGCUGUUGGAAGCAAUUUCAGUGGCUAAGCGAAAGUGAUAAGUAUCCCACCUGGGGAGUACGUUCGCAAGAAUG
rnacentral:rRNA from 1 species